GAUGAACGCUAGCUACAGGCUUAACACAUGCAAGUCGAGGGGCAGCAUGAACUUAGCUUGCUAAGUUUGAUGGCGACCGGCGCACGGGUGAGUAACACGUAUCCAACCUGCCGAUGACUCGGGGAUAGCCUUUCGAAAGAAAGAUUAAUACCCGAUGGCAUAGUUCUUCCGCAUGGUAGAACUAUUAAAGAAUUUCGGUCAUCGAUGGGGAUGCGUUCCAUUAGGUUGUUGGCGGGGUAACGGCCCACCAAGCCUUCGAUGGAUAGGGGUUCUGAGAGGAAGGUCCCCCACAUUGGAACUGAGACACGGUCCAAACUCCUACGGGAGGCAGCAGUGAGGAAUAUUGGUCAAUGGACGAGAGUCUGAACCAGCCAAGUAGCGUGAAGGAUGACUGCCCUAUGGGUUGUAAACUUCUUUUAUACGGGAAUAAAGUGAGGCACGUGUGCCUUUUUGUAUGUACCGUAUGAAUAAGGAUCGGCUAACUCCGUGCCAGCAGCCGCGGUAAUACGGAGGAUCCGAGCGUUAUCCGGAUUUAUUGGGUUUAAAGGGAGCGUAGAUGGAUGUUUAAGUCAGUUGUGAAAGUUUGCGGCUCAACCGUAAAAUUGCAGUUGAUACUGGAUAUCUUGAGUGCAGUUGAGGCAGGCGGAAUUCGUGGUGUAGCGGUGAAAUGCUUAGAUAUCACGAAGAACUCCGAUUGCGAAGGCAGCCUGCUAAGCUGCAACUGACAUUGAGGCUCGAAAGUGUGGGUAUCAAACAGGAUUAGAUACCCUGGUAGUCCACACGGUAAACGAUGAAUACUCGCUGUUUGCGAUAUACUGCAAGCGGCCAAGCGAAAGCGUUAAGUAUUCCACCUGGGGAGUACGCCGGCAACGGUGAAACUCAAAGGAAUUGACGGGGGCCCGCACAAGCGGAGGAACAUGUGGUUUAAUUCGAUGAUACGCGAGGAACCUUACCCGGGCUUAAAUUGCAGAUGAAUUACGGUGAAAGCCGUAAGCCGCAAGGCAUCUGUGAAGGUGCUGCAUGGUUGUCGUCAGCUCGUGCCGUGAGGUGUCGGCUUAAGUGCCAUAACGAGCGCAACCCUUGUUGUCAGUUACUAACAGGUUCUGCUGAGGACUCUGACAAGACUGCCAUCGUAAGAUGUGAGGAAGGUGGGGAUGACGUCAAAUCAGCACGGCCCUUACGUCCGGGGCUACACACGUGUUACAAUGGGGGGUACAGAGGGCCGCUACCACGCGAGUGGAUGCCAAUCCCCAAAACCUCUCUCAGUUCGGACUGGAGUCUGCAACCCGACUCCACGAAGCUGGAUUCGCUAGUAAUCGCGCAUCAGCCACGGCGCGGUGAAUACGUUCCCGGGCCU
rnacentral:rRNA from 1 species